CCCUUAGAUGUUCUGGGCCGCACGCGCGCUACACUGAUGCAUUCAACAAGCCUAGCCUUGACCGAGAGGUCCGGGUAAUCUUUGAAACUGCAUCGUGAUGGGGCUAGAUUAUUGCAAUUAUUAAUCUUCAACGAGGAAUGCCUAGUAGGCGCAAGUCAUCAGCUUGCGUCGAUUACGUCCCUACCCUUUGUACACACCGCCCGUCGCUCCUACCGAUUGGGUGUGCUGGUGAAAUGUUCGGAUCGGCCGUUUGUCGCGGUUUCCGCGUCAUGUGGCUGAGAAGUUCAUUAAACCCUCCCACCUAGAGGAAGGAGAAGUCGUAACA
rnacentral:rRNA from 1 species